AGCAGCCGCGGUAAUUCCAGCUCCAAUAGCGUAUAUUAAAGUUGUUGCAGUUAAAAAGCUCGUAGUUGAAUUUCGGGGUCAGUAGGUUGGUCGUGCCACCGGUACGUACUGGUCUCACUGAUUCCUCCUUCCUGAUGAGCUGUAAUGCCAUUAAUUUGGUGUUGCAGGGAAUCUGGACUGUUACUUUGAAAAAUUAGAGUGUUUAAAGCAGGCUAACGCUUGAAUACAUUAGCAUGGAAUAAUGAAAUAGGACGUUCGAUCCUAUUUUGUUGGUUUCUAGGAUUGACGUAAUGAUUAAUAGGGAUAGUUGGGGGCAUUAGUAUUCAAUUGUCAGAGGUGAAAUUCUUGGAUUUAUUGAAGACUAACUACUGCGAAAGCAUUUGCCAAGGAUGUUUUCAUUAAUCAAGAACGAAAGUUAGGGGAUCGAAGACGAUCAGAUACCGUCGUAGUCUUAACCAUAAACUAAUGCCGACUAGGGAUCGGAUGAUGUUAAUUUUAAUGUACUCAUUCGGC
rnacentral:rRNA from 1 species